GUUCAGAACGUCGUGAGACAGUUCGGUCCCUAUCCAUCGCAGGCGUAGGAUAUUUGAGGGGGGCUGCUCCUAGUACGAGAGGACCGGAGUGGACGUACCUAUUGUGCACCUGUUGUCGUGCCAACGGCAUAGCAGGGUAGCGAAGUACGGAAGUGAUAAACGCUGAAAGCAUAUAAGCGUGAAACAUGCCUCAAGAUAAGAUAUCCCAUAACACAAGUUAGUAAGACCCCUUUAAGACUAAGAGGUAGAUAGGUCAGGAGUGUAAGUACAGUAAUGUAUUCAGCGGACUGAUACUAAUAGGUCGAGGGCUUGAUCAC
rnacentral:rRNA from 1 species